rnacentral:pre_miRNA from 9 species
UCUCGAUAGCGUAAAAGUUAACACAAAUUUGUAUGGAGUUAGAACGUUUGCUUACAUUCGCCGUUAAGAGCGCCGUUCCAACUGCAUACAAAUUUGAGUUACCUUUUACGCCAUCGA